GCCUAAAUUUUUAUUAAUCUAAAUUUAAAUGUAAUAAAUCACCACAUUAAUUUCCAGAAUUUGGUUUGAGAGUGCAAGGAGCUUUCAGUGAUGUCGGGUAAACAUGAGGCAAUGAAGGCGGGCUUACUUACACCUUUUUGCUCUCCGCCUGCCUUGACUCCCAGUCUCUCCUGUGCAGGUUUGGGCCUGAAAGACGUGCCAGACCUGCUGCCAAAGCCUUGGCCUCCACCUCACCCUGCAGACAUGGCCGCAUACACACGCAUAAUCAGGAGCUGCGAUAAUCACGCACAUCUGACAUUAGUGCUUUCAAGAAUCAGGUUGUCUCAGGAGCGAUUCAGAAGGCCUGCAGGGCUGCUGCAGUGAGUGCAGCACCACAGAGAAAGACUGUGGGCUGUGGCUCAAGCCCAGGUGCAUGACCACUCACCACAAGUGCCGAGUACCAUACAGUGCUUCACCAUUGCCCGUGCUUCAGUUUUCUGUCUGUAAAAUGGAAGCAAGGCCUCAAACCAGCAACAAGUGGGAUGUGCUGGAAUAUUCAGUUACGGAUGAAUUUACAUUUGAUUGUGCGUAAAGGGGUCGAGUCGAAGUAAACGAUAGGACUUUAAGGGAUCGUGUUAAUGUAAAACACACAAAUACUAAAAUCCCACAGGACUUCCUUCUUAUUCCCAUCAGAGGCCACACCCAGGAGAGCAGGUAAUACGAGAACCGCUUUCACAGAGUGAGACUGGCAGAGGUGGGAUAAACAAGAUGGGUAACUCUCUGAUUAUUCUCAGCAGAUAACUUUUCCUCUUUUGCCUUCAUAUUCAUUUCAUUUUUGGCGAUUGCUUUGAAACAAUCUCUCUCACUUUUUUGCACCAACAAGUGCCUCAUGUGCGCCGUACUGUCUUCAGCAUUCGCCUCAGGUCUGAGGCGUUCACAGCGAAGCUAAUGUGCCCUGAUGUCAUGUGUGAGAUAGGGAUCUUUUGAGGGGUGCGUUAUAAAUUGUACCAUAAUACGAGUGCGCAGGGGGCUGGGGUAGGGGUGGAAUUGAGAGGAGCGUAGAUGGGGGGUGGAUCAAGCUGUGCCACUGGAAUCCACAGUGUUGUGAGAGCUCCAUACCUUUCAGCUUCAUUAAACCAAUUUCACGCCGAGGUGAGCUAAGAGAGGAAGCUCUGAAUCCGAGCGCCAGCAACAAUGGUGCAUUGAGGGGAUGAGGCAAAAGUAAAUUAGGUACCACUUCACAGACAGCAAAUUAAAAUCUGAAAGUUGGAUAGGAAAAGUUGAGGGUCGAUGAUUAUGUCUUUAUUGUGCCCUCUCACCUCAAUCUAGAAAACCAUCCUUUCCUUUUAGCAACCACCUUUGCAACCCCCCUCCACACUCACAAGAAGAAAAAUAAUAAUCUAUUUCUUGUCUGAUAAUUGGUUUUUAAGAUGCUUCCAGUCAAAGAACGGCUCUUAGAUGCCAAGCUGCUUGUGACCCUCCUUUCAGUCACUUAAUUUACCUUUGCUUAUCAGUGAGAUUUCAUAUCAAGGAAUAUCGUCUCAAUUAACCUCAUUUAAGGUUUAUUUCUGUGUGAUCACUGACCUCUAACAGCUAUUGACUACUUUAUCUUCAGUGUUUGUCAGUCAAACUGAUAUGAGAACUUCAAUAUGAGGACUUAUUUACCUUCUGAAGUAUUACUUGGCUUUUCCUUCUUCAUUUGUCAGUCUGUCAUAGCUCUUGUAGUCUUUAAAAAAGAAAGUAAAAGCGAUGCUGGUGUUUCCUGUUUCCCCUGACAGUUAAAACUCCAAAUGACAGUCUUAUGUUUAGCAAAAAAA